rnacentral:rRNA from 1 species
GUCACGCUGUAAACGAUGAAUACUAGGUAUUGAAGGAUUUGACCCUACAGUGCCGUAGCUAACGCGUUAAGUAUUCCGCCUGGGAAGUACGGUCGCAAGACUAAAACUCAAAGGAAUUGACGGGGGCCCGCACAAGCGGUGGAUUAUGUGGUUUAAUUCGAAGCAACGCGCAAAACCUUACCAAGGCUUGAAAUCCCACGAACCUGCUUUAAACGGCGGGGUGCUCUUCGGAGAAUGUGGUGACAGGCGCUGCAUGGCUGUCGU